rnacentral:lncRNA from 1 species
CCAGAGGCUUAAGUGAAAAAAUAUGUUUGCAUACAUAUUAAUACAGCAACUCCAAUCCUUUUUCACUAGUGCCAGGAAAAAAGGAAAGUGAUUAAAUGCAUUUUUUUUUUUUUUUUUGCAUAAAGAAGCCAAAGAAUUGUCUUGCCACCACCCUUCACCAUUUAUUCUGCCAGGGAAUAAGCCACAACACCUGCUCUGUCACUAAAUUCCUCCUGCUGCUCAAACGCCGGAACACGUAUGUGGAGAUGCAGAGCCCAAGGAACUAUUAUUAGAUCUUGAGCCCAUCCCUACCAGAACAGAGGACUCAAACAGAGGAGCUGGGCUAAAAAGCACAAUUUGUCUUCAGUACAAAUACAAACGCUCCCGCACCCCAGUUCACUUGAGUGAUCUCUGUUUCAUUAAAAACUCUUUCUUGAUCAACAAUUGAGCAGAUUCUACAUGAUAUCUGCAGGUCUCUUAAGCAGAGAAAAAUAACUCCUUGUUUCAACAACCUGAUUAAUGAAACCUGUACAGUGACCUAGAUCACCCGGCUACUGGCAGACAUUUGCAAAACCUUUUGUGGUCUUGCUUCCUACUAAGUUGCUUAUAGCAUAUGGGGAAAUUUGACCUCUGUACCUUGGCUGUUUGUCAAAAAGUUCUAAUAUGAUACAAGAGAGCUUCUGUUCUUUAAGCUUUGCCCAAAAAUAGACACUCCAUGCUUGAUUUUCAAGAAGAGAUCAAUGAUAAGCUGCAGUGCAACCUCAUAGCUACAUGUCAGAAAAAUAAG